rnacentral:tRNA from 1 species
GGGGGUGUAGCUCAAUUGGUAGAGCACCUGCUUUGCAAGCAGGGGGUCGUCGGUUCGAUUCCGAUCACCUCCACCA